rnacentral:rRNA from 1 species
UUAUUGGAGAGUUUGAUCCUGGCUCAGGACGAACGCUGGCGGCGUGCCUAAUACAUGCAAGUCGAGCGAGUCUCUUCGGGGGCUAGCGGCGGACGGGUGAGUAACACGUAGGCAACCUGCCUCUCAGACUGGGAUAACAUAGGGAAACUUAUGCUAAUACCGGAUAGGUUUUUGGAUCGCAUGAUCUGGAAAGAAAAGAUGGCUUUUCGC